GGAAGGAUCUCUUCUGGAGAUCCACUCCACUGGAGUUUUUUACACAAGCCCAGGAUUGAGUGAAUUCUGUGGCUGGAUGCUAUUUUUUUCCCCUGCUGUGUUCUUACUGCCUUGUACAGCAGCAUGAGGAUCUGCAGAUGAACAUGCUCUGUGUAGCGUUUUGUAAGAGGUGCACUGAAGUUCCCACAGAUUCAGGAAUCCAUGUUUGGACCUCUCUUUUACAUCAUUUUUCAAACUAUGAAACCUGGAGAUCUGAAUUCCCAGGCAGGUAAAAGGAGGUAUGAUCUGCAUUCAAGCAAGUCUACUUCCAGCUUCUCACAGCCUCUUCUGGGGAUGAACUGGGAAGUCUGGAUGCACAAAGCAGAGCACAUUUGUCAUGGAUGGAAACAACUAUGCUAUACAUUUCACAUUUCUCUUGUAAGAGAGAAACAGGAGUAUAUUUAUUGAUUGUAAUAUAGAUAUCAUGGAGUGAUUUAACAAUGACUUAGUAAGAUUUGAGAUGGCUGGAUGGACCUGAUUAUUUAUUGCACAGAUAGUAGGGUUAAACACACAGAUAUUGGAGACCCUUCUGUUGGGUCAUGAGGUUCAGAGUGGACCCCCUUUCUUUCUUACCUUUUGGUUCUAGGAAUUUAGGAGCCUAGGUGCAGUUGAGCCCAAUCCUACCCCCAGACUUGGUCGAUGAUUUAUGUUGAAGGGAUCAUGUGUGCACAAUCAAUGAUCUAAUCUUAGCAAAGCUAACAAAGCUUAAAGCCAUCAGUCACUUCCUGAGUAUCUAUAUCAGCAAAAUGUCUUGAUGUCAAAGUGUAAGGGAUCUCUGUGCAGACAUAACCUUGAGAGAUAUCCCUACUCAAGGGGAGAUCCUGUUGUGCAGCCAGCUGCCACACAGAAGAGCUCCAGGGCCUCUUGGGCUGCUCAUUAUUUAUGGGGUAAGAUAACUGACUCAUAGUCAUACUUUGUUUUUAGGCAUGUGCUCAAUUGGCCCUCAGCUGUUGAACAGGCUGUCUGCUAUCAGCUCUUUCAACCCCCCAGUUUGAAACAGAUUUGUGGUCAUUAAUCUGCCUAAGAAUUUUAUCAGUGCUGUUAGGUUGGGAGCACACCGUCACAACAUCUCUCCCCUGUGAUGCUGUUUUCUUGUCUGCAGCUUUUAUUUGUAGUGAUUCGCUUGCUUUCCAAAUACUGCCUCCAAUGCAGUUCAACUUUUGAGGAGCAAAAGUAAAAGUCAGUCCUAGAGCUCUUGUCUGAGGCAGGUUUGUCUCUAACAACACCUGUCCAGGACAUCUCGGCAGAUGAGCAGCAGUGCACUGUGCACAAUGAAGAGGGGUGACCUGCCUGAGGCUGUUCUGAAUUCUGCACUGUGCAAAAAAUGUGACCAGUAGGGUUUGAGCCUGAGAGCACAGAGUGAAGCAGUCUCAGGAGACCACUGAGAUAAUGAUCUGCCAAGUCUAAACCUCCUUGUUUCCCAUGCUUACCUUGAAGGGCUGAAAUAACCUUGCUCAAAAUAUUGGCAUAGUUUAUGUUUUAGAAGACAUGCUAAUGGACUCAAUUUGAAAGAUCAUGGCAGAUAGAUGUUGUAUAUCUUCAUAUGUUUUUUUAAUUGCUUAUUGCAAAUUGAAUCAGAAGCAUAAACAGUUCCUUGAAGUAGGAGAAUGAGGUAGAGCAGAGGCAAGACCUAGGGGCUGCAGGAAAGGUCUGUCACAGAAAAUACAAAAGGAAAAGUAACAAGAAAUGAAAGCAGAUAUUUGGAGAGAAGCACUCAAUCACACCAUGGUGUUCAGUGUCAACCCAACACUGGACUAAAAUUACUAAGUGUACAGGAGUGCAAACAGCCAGCUAGCAAUUUGUUUUGGUAAUUCUGCUGCAAUAGAAAAAGCAUCUGACUUCAGAGAACAGAGUAGGGAAGCCUUGAAUUACUGUUUGCCUGCUCAGGAGAAUGUGCAGACCAUGAACUACUGCUUGGAGUGAAGUAAAGCUUGAUUGAAUGCACAGACCUGCCUGCUGCCUUUUGAGAUGAAGCUCUGCUUUCUGUCUCUCCCUGCCUAUCAAACUUACUUUAUGAGAAGAAACAAUCUUUCUCUCUUUAAAAUAGGAACUAUUCAGGUCUAAAGUGUGAGAUGUCAAACCUCUUGUUUUACAAACAGUGGAUAACAUUCACUGUGUAAUAUUUACUGAUUAUUAUUAUUAAUCACUGUAGCUAACAUCUGCAGAUCUCAUUCAUUGUGUAUUAAAUUUAUAGCAUGGCAGUUCAAUAAGGAGCAGAUUAUGAAUUAAAAGUCAAUAAUGGCAUUAUAAGCAUUCUUUUUGAGGGUUGUUUUUCUAAUUAUUUGCAAUCUGUCAUCCAGACAGUCUAUGAUAACUCAUCUUAGAACAAAAGCAGUGUAUCUGCUGCUCAGCACAGGAGGCAAGCUGA